rnacentral:rRNA from 1 species
GACGAACGCUGGCGGCGUGCUUAACACAUGCAAGUCGAACGGAAAGGCCCUGCUUUUGUGGGGUGCUCGAGUGGCGAACGGGUGAGUAACACGUGAGUAACCUGCCCUUGACUUUGGGAUAACUUCAGGAAACUGGGGCUAAUACCGGAUAGGAGCUCCUGCUGCAUGGUGGGGGUUGGAAAGUUUCGGCGGUUGGGGAUGGACUCGCGGCUUAUCAGCUUGUUGGUGGGGUAGUUGCUUACCAAGGCUUUGACGGGUAGCCGGCCUGAGAGGGUGACCGGCCACAUUGGGACUGAGAUACGGCCCAGACUCCUACGGGAGGCAGCAGUGGGGAAUAUUGCACAAUGGGCGGAAGCCUGAUGCAGCAACGCCGCGUGCGGGAUGACGGCCUUCGGGUUGUAAACCGCUUUCGCCUGUGACGAAGCGUGAGUGACGGUAAUGGGUAAAGAAGCACCGGCUAACUACGG